rnacentral:lncRNA from 1 species
AAUAGGGAGGAUAGAAACAGGGAGGAAAAGGCCGCUUCAGGAAGGUCCGAAAGAGCAGCGGCAGCCACCGGAGGGAAAAGGCAAGGAAUGAAAUCCACAAACCCCCACCCUCAAGUCCUGAGUCCCUUCUUUGUCUCAGCCAAUCAGACGUCAGCAUUGCCGGCCGACCGACCAAUCAGGAGCUGGAACAGGAGCCCCCAGUCUCAGGCCGGGGUUUCCAGGAGGAGGGCGGCCGGAACAGGAGCGCCCCGCCCUGUCCCCGCCCACUCCACAGCCCGCCCCAGACCACGCCCCGCUCGCCUCGGCCCCGCCCCAGACCACGCCCCACCGCCACCAGCCUAGCUCGCCUAGAGCCCCGUGGCCAACGGCCGGCCGCGGGGCCGUGUUGUCCUGAGGGCCAGAAAAAGGGAGGAGCGGGUGGGGGGGACAGCCACGUGGCCUCAGGGGGAUUUACAACAUUUUCUUUCGCCAUCGACGGUACCGUAAAAUGUGUGAGAGAGGCGGCGGCGCAGCCAGGACUGGAGCGUGAGGGCGCGGGCCAGGUAAGCAGACCGGGCGACUUCGCUGCGGACGGGACCGGGGGGCGACCGUGGGCACCAGCCACGCGCAGCGGCUCCGCGGGGUCUCGGCCGGGUCGGCACUCUGAAAGAUCUCGAGAGCCACGGGUGGUGCAGGCGCGGCCCUCGAGCCGAAGCAUCUCCGGCGACCCGGGGCUGCCGAGGCGGUGUAGACCAGUACAGGCGGUCCCGCCGAGGCGCCUCCGAAUCCGGGGGUGGUCGAGACGGAUCCCCAAGGCCGAGGUCGGCAGGCCCGGGUACUUGUCGCUGCUGAGCCUGUGGAGACGCAGACCCAUGACCGAGGCACCCUCCAGCAACCCGGAGGCAGCGUUUUCCCCCUACCGGAAAUCUGAUGGGCUUAUGACAUCAUGGCUGGCUGCUGAGCGACGAAGUGGAUGCCACAGUGAAAUCCGACAUAUCGGAUGGAUUCUGAAAUCGGUUUCCCUCCAGCUAUAGUAACAGGCGUGAAGUCAGGAGAAUCUGAGCUUUGUUUAAAAAAAACCACAAUGAAGUCUUGCCCUGUAUUAAAUGUAAUUUUCUUAAAAACAAGCAAACCUUUUGGACAUCAUUUUAUUUUAAUAGAAAUGCUGAGUUUUAUGAAACUAAAGUGCCUAAUAAAUCGGACCUGAAGCUUUGUGAGCAUUCCGUUUCUGUUGAGUGUUUGUGUCCUUAUUCACUAAUAAAAGAGGAGCUAGGAAUGGUUUAUCUCUCUUCAUUAUUCAAAUGAGAUAGCUUUUUUUUUUAGGGCCAAUAAAAUUCACAGGGUAAAUUGCUGGUUUAUGUUUUUCCAGGAAUCCAUUUUUAUGGAGUGACCCUGGACCUCACCGGUCUGUAGACACAGUAUCCCCCUUUCCUGGUUUUCUUGGCUGGGAGCCCUUAAGAGCAUGCAGUAAAGCUUUUCAGCCUCCUGGCUGUGCUCAGGGGAUGACUGGCUGUCAGUAGGGUGGGACCAGGACCUGUGGGCCAGGCAUUUCUUGGGAUGAAAAACCUCUUUGAAAGAAGAGGGUUGGCUGGGCGCGGUGGCUCACGCCUAUAAUCCCAGCACUUUGGGAGACCAAGGCGGGUGGAUCACGAGGUCAAGAGUCCUGGUCAACAAGGUGAAACCCCGUCUCUACUAAAAAAAAAAAAAAAAAAUACAAAAAUUAGCUGGACAUGGUGGUGUGUGCCUGUAGUCCCAGCUACUUGGGAGGCUGAGGCAGGAGAAUUGCUUGAACCCAGAAGGCAGAGGUUGCCGUGAGCUGAGAUCGAGCCAAUGCACUCCAGUCUGGGUAACAACAGCGAAACUCCAUCUCAAAAAAAAAAAAAAAAAAAGAAAGAAAAAAAGAAGAGGGUCAAGAGAGGGACAGAAGUAAAGGGACCUGGGGCUGGGUGUGGUGGCUCGUGCCUCUUGUCCCAGUGGUUUGGGAGGCUGAGGAGGGCGGAUCACUUGAGGUCAGGAAUUCCAGACUAUCCUGGCCAACAUGGUGAAACCCCUACCAAAAAUACAAAAAAAUAGCCAGGAGUGGUGGUAGACGCCUGUAAUCCCAGCUAUUCGGGAGGCUGAGGCAGGAGAAUUGCUUAAGCGCGGGAGGGAGAGGUUCUAGUGAGCGGAGAUCAUGCCAGUGCACUCCAGCCUGGCGAAAGAUCGAGAUCCAUUUAAAAAAAAAUGGGAGGGCUGGGCGAGGUGUCUCAUGCCCGUAAUCCCAGCACUUUGGGAGGCUGAGGUGGGCUGAUCAUGAGGUCAGGAGAUUGAGACCAUCCUGGCCAACAUGGUGAAACCCUGUCUCUACUAAAAAUAUAAAAAUUAGCUGGGCGUGGUGGCAUGUGCCUGUAGACCUGGCUACUCAGGAGGCUGAGGCAGGAGAAUUGCUUGAACCCAGAAAUGGAGGUUGCAGUGAGCCAAGAUCACACCACGGUACUCCAGCUUGGCGACAGAGCAAGACUCGGUCUCCAAAAAAAAAAAAGGAAGUAAAGGGACCUGGGACAUGAGGCCUGGGAGGGGAAAUUUAUUUUCUUCCUCCUCAAAAGAGAGCAAAGAUCUCAGAAAUAACUCCAGACUGAGGGGGCCUCAGUAUUCGCCUCGGAAGUAGCCUCAGGUGCAAUGAAGUACAAGAUUCCGUGUGUUGUGCCUGCCAAGCACCCAGCAUGAGGAAGUCCCAGACCUGGGCUGAGGACCCGGCUGCUCCAGGGACAAGCUGCGGGGCCCUGGGCAAGUCACACCACCUUUCCGUUUCUUUCCCCAAAAUUGGGCGUGAUGACCCUCCUCCUGCCUGUUGGGGAAUAGUAGUGCUGCAUGUGUCACGCAAUGCCCAGCCACCCUCAAAGGGCUCCGAGGCCAUUCUCAUAGCUGGGAGCAGCCAGUGUGGAUUCUGGAGUUGAAUCCCCAGCCCAGGCUUGCAUCCUGGUUCUGUCACAUGCUAUCUGUAAGACGACAUUGAUCCGUGUGACAUUCACUGUGC